rnacentral:rRNA from 1 species
CAGCAGCCACGGGAAAACGUAGGGCGCAAGCGUUAUCCGGAAUUAUUGGGCGCAAAGAGCUCGUAGGCGGUUUGUCGCGUCUGCCGUGAAAGUCCGGGGCUCAACCCCGGAUCUGCGGUGGGUACGGGCAGACUAGAGUGAUGUAGGGGAGACUGGAAUUCCUGGUGUAGCGGUGAAAUGCGCAGAUAUCAGGAGGAACACCGAUGGCGAAGGCAGGUCUCUGGGCAUUAACUGACGCUGAGGAGCGAAAGCAUGGGGAGCGAACAGGAUUAGAUACCCGCGUAGUCCCUGUCUCUUAUAC